CUUCCCCUACACCCUCCAGACCUUGUAACUCCUGAAACAAACUCUUCUUUUGUAAAGUUACAUCACCAACUACCUGUUCAUUCCAAAUCUUCAAGUAUGAAUUCCACCAUUGCCUGACCAUCUCCACAAAUCCAUCCAUCUUUAACCACAUAUUCUCAAAC